AGUCGAGCGAACAGACGAGGAGCUUGCUCCUCCGACGUUAGCGGCGGACGGGUGAGUAACACGUGGAUAACCUACCUAUAAGACUGGGAUAACUUCGGGAAACCGGAGCUAAUACCGGAUAAUAUAUUGAACCGCAUGGUUCAAUAGUGAAAGACGGUUUUGCUGUCACUUAUAGAUGGAUCCGCGCCGCAUUAGCUAGUUGGUAAGGUAACGGCUUACCAAGGCAACGAUGCGUAGCCGACCUGAGAGGGUGAUCGGCCACACUGGAACUGAGACACGGUCCAGACUCCUACGGGAGGCAGCAGUAGGGAAUCUUCCGCAAUGGGCGAAAGCUUGACGGAGCAACGCCGCGUGAGUGAUGAAGGUCUUCGGAUCGUAAAACUCUGUUAUUAGGGAAGAACAAAUGUGUAAGUAACUAUGCACGUCUUGACGGUACCUAAUCAGAAAGCCACGGCUAACUACGUGCCAGCAGCCGCGGUAAUACGUAGGUGGCAAGCGUUAUCCGGAAUUAUUGGGCGUAAAGCGCGCGUAGGCGGUUUUUUAAGUCUGAUGUGAAAGCCCACGGCUCAACCGUGGAGGGUCAUUGGAAACUGGAAAACUUGAGUGCAGAAGAGGAAAGUGGAAUUCCAUGUGUAGCGGUGAAAUGCGCAGAGAUAUGGAGGAACACCAGUGGCGAAGGCGACUUUCUGGUCAGUAACUGACGCUGAUGUGCGAAAGCGUGGGGAUCAAACAGGA
rnacentral:rRNA from 1 species